CUCACAUUGAAAAAGGGAGGCAGAGGAUACAGAGAAGUAGAUGUGACUAUGGAAGCAGAGAUCAGAGUGAUGAAACUGCUAGCUGGAGCCACGUGCCAAGGAAUGGAAGCAGCCCCUAGAAGCUGGAAAAGGUGAAGAAAUGCAGUCUCCCAAAGAGCUUCCAGAAGGAAUCCAUGCCUGCCAAUGCAUUGAUUUUGGUCUCAUGAAACGUAUUUAAGACAUAUGAUCUCUAGAGUUCUGAUAAACUUGUAUUGGUUUAAGCCACUAUGUUUGUGGUCAUUUGUUACAGCAGCAAAAGGAAA
rnacentral:lncRNA from 1 species